rnacentral:lncRNA from 13 species
AUGGGGGGGGUGGGAAGGAAUUCCCGGCACAAUUCCCCAGGGAAAUCCCAAAGUAUUGGAAAUUUGGGAAUUCUUUUGCUCCAUCUGAUCCCGAGCUUCCCAGCCCUUGGGAAAACCCGGAACGGGACCCAGGAAAGGGCAGAAUUCCGGGAAAAUCCCAUUUCCCGGCAGCUUGGAGAAUUCCGGGAAUGCCGGAUCCCAAAAGAGCCAGGGGGAAUUCCUUCCCUUGAUCCCAACUUGGAAAAGAAGAGGGAAAAGAGGGGUCAGAAUUCCUGUUCCAGCUCUUCCCAGGGAAAACCAGGAGCCGGGAGGAGGCUCGGGUGGUUUUCCUUGGAAAAAAAUCCCGCGGGAAUUCUCCCUUCAGCCGGAAGCCAGGGAAUCGCUCGGGGCACGGAGAGCCUUGGGAAGUGCGGGAAUCACACGGGAAUUCCCAAAGGAAUCCCAAAGGAACCCCACCGGAAUUCCCAAGGAUUCCUCCAGGAACCCCCCCCGGAAUUCCGAGGUAAAUUCCCUCCCAGCGCUCCCGACGAGGAAUCGCCCCAAGCCCUUCCCACAGCCGGGAUUCGGGAACACCCCUGGAUCCCUCCUGGAUUCCUCUUGGAGCCCCCCUGGAUUCCCCUCCUGGAUCCCUCCUNCCUCCUGGAUCUCCCCCAGAUCCCCCCCUGGAUUUCCCUGGAUUCUCCCAGGAUUUCUCACCCCAUUCCUGCCUCCGGCCGCUCCGGCCUCGCAAUUCCCGGUGCCGUUCCCGCAAUUCCCGGUGCCGUUCCUGGCGCUGUUCCCGGUGCCAUUCCCACUCCCGGUGCUGUUCCCGCAAUUCCCGGUGCCAUUUCCGCAAUUCCCGGCGCCGUUCCUGGUGCUGUUCCCGGUGCCAUUCCCAGCGUCGUUCCCGUUAUUCCCAGUACCGUUCUCGCUCUUCUCGGCACCAUUCCCAGUGCUGUUCCCUGUGCCAUUCCCAGCACCAUUCCCGGUGCCAUUCCCGCUGUUCCCGUUGCCGUUCCCGCCCCGUGCAGCCUCUCCCACGUUGCUUUCCCAGUUUUCCUUCUCCUCUUCCCGAGCCUCCGCAAUCCUUCCCGAUUCCCGCCUCUCCUGCGCCUUUUCCCGGGGGGCGGAUUCUCCCGGCUGAGCCUUUCCCGGAGCAGCUCGGGCCUCUCCGGGCUUUUUCCGGGAUCGGGAUCGGCUCCCGGAGCUGAAGAAGGCCGAUCCCAGCGGGAGCCUCAGCGCUGGCCGCGCCCCCCGGCCCAGCAGCACCCGCGGCGCCGCCUCCGGCCGCUCGGAAUUCCGGCCCUUCCCGCCGCCCGUCCCCUCCGGAACGCCGGCCUUGGCCUUGGGAACGCGCCCGGCGUCGGCUGUGCCUUUGGAGCCGCGCUGCCCGCCGGGAUUCCGGCCGGGAUUCCUGCUGGGAUUCCUGCUGGGAUUCCUGCCAUUCCCGCUGGGAUUCCUGCUGCCAUUCCCGCUGGGAUUCCCGCCGGGUUUUCCCGGGAUAUUCCCGGCCCCGCUGCCGCCGCCCGCUCCCAGCAGCUCCCGGAGCCGUUUCCUCUCCAGAGGAUCCAGGUAGGUCCUUUUCCCAUAAAAAGCUGCCACGGGGACGUGGGAAUGCGGCUGGGAAUUCUGGGAAUGCGGCUGGGAAUUCCCGGGAAGGGCCGGGAUGUCCAAUCUCCUGGGAUGCGCCGCUUUCCCGGGAACGGCCUCGCCCUCCUCGGCUCCCGGGCCGGAGCGAUUCCCGCUGCGAUCCCACUGGGGCCGGGAAGAGAGCGGCGGCUGCUGCCGGGAUGGCGACGGAAUCCCGGGAAAGGCUCGGAGCCGCUUGGUCACCGGGGUCUGGAAUUCGGAGCCGGAGCUGCGGAAAAAGAGGGAAUGAGGGAUUGGAUCUGGGAAUGAGGNCGGCAUUCCCGGGAAAAUGAAAGGGGCUGGGAAACAGGGGUGGGAUCCUGCCGGGAAUUCCCGCUGCCCGCCCCCAGAAUUCCCAAUUCCCACCCCCAGAAUUCCCAGUUCCCGCUCCCGGAAUUCCCAAUUCCCACCCCCAGAAUUCCCGCUCUCCCCAUCCUCUCCCAACAAUCCCUUGGAUUGUCCCAGGGUUAUCCCAGGGGAUUCCCGGAUUCCCCCAUCCCGAAUUCCUGGCGGGAAGCUCACAAUGAUCAGCUGAUCCCGGGGCAGCUCCGGCGCUUCCCGGGAUUUCCUGGCAGCGCCUUUUCCACAGGAGGGGCCAAUCCCAAACGGAGCCGGGAGCUCCUCCAGAGGCCUGGGAAACACGGGAAAGGCGGGAAAAGCCGGGAAAAAGUGAGAAAAUCCGGGAAAAAAGCAGGGAAAAUUCAGGAAAAAGUAGGAAGAACAGGGAAAUCCCCAGGGAAAAGCCGGGAAUGCAGGCAGGAGUUCAGCGCGUUCCCAGGACAGAGAAUUCCCGGGAAAUCCUGAGGGAAAACUCCAGGAAAAGCCCCGAGGGGAUGGGAUCGGAAGGGAUCGGAGCCGUCUGCUGCUUCCGGAGCCAUCGGAAUUCCGGGAUCUGGGAAUUCCAGCAGCGAAGGGAGCAGCAGCCAGGGGCAGGGAUGGGCGGAGCGAGGAGAAAUCCGGGAUGGGGAAUUCCCGGCCCUGGGAAUGGGAUCGGGGCUCCGGCCCCGCCCGAAGCAUCCCAGGAUUCCCUGGGACAUUCCCAUCCCGGAUUCCCGGGAUCAGCAGCUCCCUGGGCCCCUCUGGAAAAGCGGGAAUGGGAUCGGGAACGGGAUCUGGGAAAGGUGGGAACGGGAUCGAGAAUGGGAUCUGGGAAAGGCGGGAAGGGGAUCGGGAAGGGGAUCGGGAAUGGGAUCGGGAACGGGCUCCGGGAAGGCGGGAAUGGGAUCAGGAAUGGGAUCCAGGAAAAGUGGGAAUGGAAUCAGGAAUGGGAUCUAGGAAGGCGGGAAGGGGAUUGGGAAGGGGCUCUGGGAAUGGGAUCGGGAACGGGAUCGGGAAUGGGAUCUGGGAAGGGGGGAAGGGGAACCAGGAAUAGGAUCCAGGAAAGGCGGGAAUGGGAUUGGGAAGGGGCUCCGGGAAGGAGAUCUGGGAAUGGGAUCGGGAUCUGGGAAAGGUGGGAAUGGGAUCGGGAACGGGAUCAGGGAGGGCGGGAAGGGGCUCUGACCUCCUCCUGCCGGGAAGGAAGAUGGGAUAGAGCUCGGCUGGGCCCGGAGAACCUGGAAAACGCCCGGGAAUUCCGAGCGUUAGCGCGGCAAUCCGGGAAGGCGGAACCCCAACCCCAAAUCCAGGGAAUUCCGCUUCCCGCGGAUCUCCGUCGUUCCCAGCGUCGGGGCCGGGAUCUCUCCUCUUCCCAAAAAACUUCCCAGGCCCGGAAAUUCCGGGAAGAGCAGGGAAAGGAGGAGAUUCCCGGGGUUUUCCCGACUCACCUGGGGCCUUCUUCCCGCUGGGAACGCCGAGGGAAUCCCGGGAAUCCGGGCUGGGAGAGGCGGGAACUCCAGGGGAUUCCUGCAGACGGAAAGAGGAUUUCAGGGAAAACUUGGAAUUCUGUGGGACCCAGGGCGGGACUGGGGGGCUCCCGGGGGUUUUCCAGGGGUUUUCCAGGGGUUUCCCAGGGGCUGCUCCAGCCCGGGAAGCGCCGGCCUUGGAAUGGGAUGGGAUUGAAGCUGCGUGGAUCCCAGCCAAAGCAUUCCGGGA